UACGUAGGGUGCGAGCGUUGUCCGGAAUUAUUGGGCGUAAAGAGCUCGUAGGCGGUUUGUUGCGUCUAUCGUGAAAACCUGCGGCUUAACUGUGGGCUUGCGGUGGAUACGGGCAGGCUAGAGUUCGGGUAGGGGAGACUGGAAUUCCUGGUGUAGCGGUGAAAUGCGCAGAUAUCAGGAGGAACACCGAUGGCGAAGGCAGGUCUCUGGGCCGG
rnacentral:rRNA from 1 species